AGGCUACACUUUCUUUCAGGCAGGUCUCUGUUCUUACAGAGACACUGGCCCAGGAUUUCUCAAUGAACCCUACACAGGAAAGGAUGUUGUAAUGUUCCUUCCAGAACUCUUUAGUGGUUAAAUCUGUACCUAAGACCAUCUGGACAGCAUUCGGGUUGUAACUCAAGACUUUGAUGUUCGGAGACCAAAACUAGAAGACACCUGGGCUAAGAGGAUAGCCAAUAUUUUGGCGUUGGCCCUCCAAGGUCAGCAAAGAUCCAGGACAUGAGAAUCUUUUUUACAGGACUCUACAUUUUUGAGUUCGUUCUUCAGUUUUAGAGAACGUGAACUCGAGACCCAGAUAUCCAGCACGUUGUGAGUUACACUUCCCUUGUUUCUAUUAUUUUCGCCUGUAUCAGACAACUUGCUGCCCUGUAACACUUUUAGAUUCCUUGGUGCCCUGCCUCGAAAACACCCUUGCAGAGCCUGAUGGAACAAAUGCACGUAAAGCAAAGGCUCUCCUCCCUUUGGUGCUCAUCUCGGAGCCCGCGGCCUCCCACACGCUUGGCCAGCUCUGUGCCGUGGGCCUGCAGGGACAACUCACCCCUGAGUCGAACCAGGGAACACAUUUCUCCAUGCAGAUCAGCUGUGGGGCUGGGGUGGGGCUCUGGACAGCAUGUGGGUUCCAACCCUAGCUUUGUAAAAAGAUGGGCAAGAAAAAUAAAAAGAUGAAAGGAAAAGGAAGCCUAUGAAAGAGAUAAUAAACCUAUCCAUC